CCUUGGAUCUGCAGACUAGCUUGGUGAGGGUGACUAGACCGUGCGUUCUCGGCAUCAUGAGAAGUAAAUAGCAUAUAUUUUUGGUUAUUUAGUUGCUUAUUGGCUUGUUGCGAGAACAACAAGAAAAAUUAUAUAGAGUGAAAUCCAGUUGAGCUGCUGAAGCUCCGCCUGGACGCCGUGGUGGUCGAUUUAGUUCACACUUGUUCAUUUAUUUUUCUGAGCUUUGAAAAUGGAAAUGGUAGGAGGGGAAGCUAUCAAAUUGUGUGUUAUAGCAUUACCGAACAUGUUCUCAGAUUGUUUGUUAUAGCAUUAUUAUAGGCCUGUCAUUGCUGCCAUUGCUAGAACAUUGUGCUUCAAAUAUACACAACCAAUUACCUAUGUCGAUAUGUAUAUUUAUUUUUGAGAUCUUCAAAUAAGUUCUCUUAUGAACUAUAUAAGCUUGUGUCAUUUGCCAGCAAAUAAACAUUUCCAGUUUACUUUGAAAAUUCUCUAGAUACGUGCGUUCCUUUCUUUUGUUUGUCUCUAGAUAAGUGUACCAGCAAACCUUUGCAUGCCAAAAAUGUUAUGCUUGUUAUGCUUGUUAUUCUCUAGACACGUACACUUGUUGGAUGAUGGAUGCUGAGCGGCAGAGGAUUGCAGAGGAGCGGCAGAGGUAUGAGGCCUCGAAACAACAGAUGCAGACCAUGUUCGCCUAUAUUCAAGGUCUAGGUGCAUCGGUAAACUAUCAACCGCCGCCAACGAUGCCGUGGCCUCCGCCAGCUCCACCUCCACCAGAAAUCAAUCGGGGAUGGCAUCGAAUGAGCCUCCGGAUGAGCACUCGCCGGCGUCACAGUGGCCAGCUAGGGGAUCUGACCAGAGACUUGUGCGUGCUGGACUAUGGACUAUAUGAUGUUAGACUUGUGAUUGUUAGACUUGUGGAUGUUGGACUUGUCGAUGUUGGACAAGUGCCUGUGGAUGUUCGACUCGGAUUUGUGGACUAAAUUUGAACAUUAUGUGAUAUUUGUGCUAUACGUGCGAUGUUUGUGAUGGAUGUCCCAUGAGAAUAUUUGAUAUUAACUGCCUAUGAUGUAUAUAUAAUGCUAUGUUUGUGUUGGAAAUAUGCCCUAGAGGCAAUCAUAUUUCCUUGUAUUCAAGGUUAGUAAAGUGUUCCUUGAAUA